rnacentral:rRNA from 1 species
CCUACGGGAGGCAGCAGUGGGGGAUAUUGCACAAUGGGGGAAACCCUGAUGCAGCGACGCCGCGUGUGGGAAGACGGUCCUCUGGAUUGUAAACCACUGUCCCCAGGGACGAAGAUGACGGUUCCUGGGGAGGAAGCUCCGGCAAACUACGUGCCAGCAGCCGCGGUAAUACGUAGGGGGCGAGCGUUGUCCGGAUUUACUGGGUGAAAAGGGAGCGUCGGCGGGACUGCAAGUUGGUGUUCAAAUCUACCGGCUCAACCGGUAGCCGCACUCAAAACUGCAGUUCUUGAGUGAAGUAGAGGCAGGCGGAAUUCCUAGUGUAGCGGUGAAAUGCGUAGAUAUUAGGAGGAACACCAGUGGCGAAGGCGGCCUGCUGGGCUUUUACUGACGCUGAGGCGCGAAAGUGUGGGGAGCAAACAGGAUUAGAUACCCCUGUAGUC